rfam:Virgibacillus massiliensis genome assembly, contig: 000002
ACAUUCAAAUAAUUAUUUUUUCAUAUAAUCGCGGGGAUAUGGCCUGCAAGUUUCUACCGGUUUACCGUAAAUGAACCGACUAUGAAAACGUACUGGAAGAGG